AUACUCCGAGAACUGAAAGGCUUUUUGAAGUCUUCGGAUGGAUAGAAGAACCCCUGAUGCCGUCGAGCCAAGAAAAGUUUCUAAGUUUAGCUAAUGUUGCCCGUACCGUAAACCGACACAGGUGGGUGGGAUGAGUAUUCUAAGGCGCGUGGAAGAACUCUCUUUAAGGAACUCUGCAAAAUAGCACCGUAUCUUCGGUAUAAGGUGUGGUUAGCUUCGUACUAGGAUUUACUCCGAAAGCGAAGAAACUUACAACAAAGAGUCCCUCCCGACUGUUUACCAAAAACACAGCACUCUGCUAACUCGUAAGAGGAUGUAUAGGGUGUGACGCCUGCCCGGUGCUCGAAGGUUAAUUGAUGGGGUUAGCAUUAGCGAAGCUCUUGAUCGAAGCCCGAGUAAACGGCGGCCGUAACUAUAACGGUCCUAAGGUAGCGAAAUUCCUUGUCGGUUAAAUACCGACCUGCAUGAAUGGCGUAACGAGAUGGGAGCUGUCUCAAAGAGGGAUCCAGUGAAAUUGUAGUGGAGGUGAAAAUUCCUCCUACCCGCGGCAAGACGGAAAGACCCCGUGGACCUUUACUACAGCUUGACACUGCUACUUGGAUAAGAAUGUGCAGGAUAGGUGGGAGGCUUUGAGUAUAUGACGCCAGUUGUAUAUGAGCCAUUGUUGAGAUACCACUCUUUCUUAUUUGGGUAGCUAACCAGCUUGAGUUAUCCUCAAGUGGGACAAUGUCUGGUGGGUAGUUUGACUGGGGCGGUCGCCUCCCAAAUAAUAACGGAGGCUUACAAAGGUUGGCUCAGAACGGUUGGAAAUCGUUCGUAGAGUAUAAAGGUAUAAGCCAGCUUAACUGCAAGACAUACAAGUCAAGCAGAGACGAAAGUCGGUCUUAGUGAUCCGGUGGUUCUGUGUGGAAGGGCCAUCGCUCAAAGGAUAAAAGGUACCCCGGGGAUAACAGGCUGAUCUCCCCCAAGAGCUCACAUCGACGGGGAGGUUUGGCACCUCGAUGUCGGCUCAUCGCAUCCUGGGGCUGGAGCAGGUCCCAAGGGUAUGGCUGUUCGCCAUUUAAAGCGGUACGCGAGCUGGGUUCAGAACGUCGUGAGACAGUUCGGUCCCUAUCUGCCGUGGGCGUAAGAAGAUUGAAGAGAUUUGACCCUAGUACGAGAGGACCGGGUUGAACAAACCACUGGUGUAGCUGUUGUUCUGCCAAGAGCAUCGCAGCGUAGCUAAGUUUGGAAAGGAUAAACGCUGAAAGCAUCUAAGCGUGAAGCCAACUCUAAGAUGAAUCUUCUCUAAGCUCUCUAGAAGACUACUAGUUUGAUAGGCUGGGUGUGUAAUGGAUGAAAGUCCUUUAGCUGACCAGUACUAAUAGAGCGUUUGGCUUAUCUUU
rnacentral:rRNA from 1 species